CCAGGCAAUAGACAUCAAUGCCAUUGGCAGAAACCCGAAGCCGAAGAGGAACAUCAACCCUCUCUCCGAGUACUACGUCAGACAUAAAGAUCUAAGGAAAAUUCACAAAGCUGCACUCACAGGCAACGUAGCCGAAGUGCAGCGCAUCCUGUUACUACGUACAAAUAAUUUAAAUGAGAGAGACAAAUAUGAAAGAACUGCUCUACAUUUGGCCUGUGCCAGUGACCAUCCAGAAGUGGUGACUCUUUUGGUAGACAGAAAAUGCCAGCUAGAUCUUCUGGAUGGUUAUCACAAGACAGCCCUAGUAAAGGCUAUCCAGUGCCGGAAUGAAGAGUGUGUGAGCAUUCUUCUAGAGCAUGGAGCCAAUCC